UACAGAGGUCUCGAGCGUUAGGCGGAAUCACUGGGCUUAAAGCGUGUGUAGGCGGAUCGUUAAGUGCCUUGUGAAAUCCCACGGCUCAACCGUGGAACUGCUUGGCAUACUGGCGGUCUUGAGCAACCUAGGGGCGAGCGGAACAAAUGGUGGAGCGGUGAAAUGCGUAGAUAUCAUUUGGAACGCCAAUGGUGAAAACAGCUCGCUGGGGGUUUGCUGACGCUGAGACGACGAAAGCCAGGGGAAGCAAAGCGGG
rnacentral:rRNA from 1 species